AGUACCGAGUUUUGUAGUAAUUCAUUUUUUCUUAAUGAAAUUCAAUCAUUCACUUAUUUGUUUAUUUAUUUUUAUUUAUUUAUUUUUUCAGUUUGAGAGCAGGUACUGUUUAUUAACCAAACAGAGUGGGUGGCCUUUUCUUCAUUCCACCUCAUGCAGAAGAUAAUUUGAAGGGCCACAGGAAGUUAUUUGCUUCUUUGAAGCAUUUUCCAACAGUAUAGAUCUCAUGAAUCAGAUCCUCCAUGCAGACGAUGCCAUAUUUACCAAGAGAUUGAGCAAUCGAAGUGUUAUCUGUCAAAGAAAGCAAUUCGCUUCUUACUGAUUUUGCCAUAAGCACGCUUGUAGAUUAGUUCAUUUACUGACUUCAGAUUUGGGUACUCCCACGCAAUAUAUGGCUCUACAAUCCUCAGCAUGUUAAUUGAAACCUUGUUGAGUUUCACAAAGGUUCCAUUGAAGAUUUGACGAAGGCAAAGAAGCUGCAACACCUUUCGGACCUUUGGGCUCACACCACUGAUACCUCUGAUCCUGAUGACAAAUGCCAAUUUGGGUUCUUCAGGUACAUAGAAGUUGCAAGCUUUUCUUGCCAUCCUCGCCAUUCAUAUUUCAUUUCUGUAUAUCUGCCUAUAUUCCCUGUGAUAGUGCUUUGCUUCUUCAUAGAUAAGCUUCCUCCUUGCCUUUCAAAGCUUCUUUUAGGCAAACUUCUUUCAAAGGCACUUGAUCUUCAGCUCUGCGAAAUUCCUUCCCUUUUUCUUAAGGGUUUCUGGCAUAGCAGGGACCUUCUUCUUCUUCUCUUCUACAUCCUCCAUGGUUCCAGCUGGAAAAAGAGUUCAUUCACUUAUUUAACAAGUAUUUAUUGAGAGCCUUCUAUGUGCUAGCUGCUGUGCUUGGUGGUAGGAAUACUGAGAGCUAUAUUGACAAACACAAUAAAUCAUAGCCCAUAAACCAUUGGUGUGACAUCUGGCAGAGUAACAGCUCUCCAAGUAUGUACCAAAUGACACCAAUUCCAUGAAAUUCUCUUGUCCCCACUGGAGAGAGAAAGAGAAAAAGGAAGAAAGAAUAAAGGAAGAAGGAAAGAAAGGAAAAGCAGGGAGAAUUACUUUUUCUCCAAUUAGGGAAACACUGUACUCUCUGUUUUCAUUGUAUCAUAGAAUAAUAAAUGCUUUGGUAUGUUCUUCUAUAAAUAAUUGUGCUAGUUUUGUUUAAUUUAAUAGAAUUCUACCUACAAAUAUUUUGAGAACUAGUUUUCUGUGAAACAUUCUUUGAGAAAACUCAGUAGAAAUUAGUGUCAAAAACUAUCAGGAUGGCAAAGCUGCCUUGCCAUAGUUGUUGGUGGUCAAAUGUUGCUGCCACUGAGUGAAAUCCACCAUGGAGCCGCUAAGCCUGUCCUCUGUGGCUGCCAAACACACUUCAUGCAGUGCAUGGGGCUCCCUGCUGUGCACCUUCCCUGUGAGAAAUGGCUCGUCCCGGCUACUCACCCACCUGUUCCAAUUCAUUUACUUUCAUAAUCCUGACUUCAAAUUUACUUCACUGGUAGCAUUUUCUGAAGUGCCAUCAUUAGAAUAAAGGAACAUUUUAUUAUUUAAUUUUCUUAUGACAAUAGCAAAGCAUGCUUAUCAUAGAAACACUUUAAAAUGAUAGAAACUAGUAAGAGGAAAUAAAAGCCCAUCCAGAAAUAACUACUGUUCAUGUCUUGGUGAGCAUCCUCUCAAUGUUCUCUCCCUACCUCUAUUCUCUCUCUCUUUCUCUUUCUCUCUCUGUCUCACAUACACACAUCAAAAAUGAAAUCAUUUGAACUUUUUCCCUUAAUACUAUAUUAUGACAGGGGCUGUCUUAGUUUUCACUAUACUUGCAGUGCCUCGUGCAGACAGUGACACUCUGUAACUGCCCAGUGAAGAUUGGGUGAGAGGAUGACCAGUUCUGAGGCCUCUGCUAGCUCUGAAACUAUUUGAUCUUUAUCAUUCUUUUUGUAAAAUCAUUCUUUUAUUCUGUGAAUCUUACAUGUGGCAAUUUACUGUGUUGAUUUUUAAGGGAUUAUUAGAUUUUAUUUUUUAGAACAGUUUUAGAUUUACCAAAAAAUUGAGCUUAUAGUGCAGAACCUCCUCUCCCCAGAUGUUCUACUAUUUCCCUGUUAUUAACACCAUGUAUUAGUGUGGAACAUUUGCUGCAGUUAAUGAAAAAAUACUGAUACAGUAUUAGUAACUAAAGUUCAUAGUUUACAUUGAAGUUCAUCUUUGUGUUGUAUAGUUCUAUUGGUUUAGACAAAUGUAUAAUGUCAUAUAUCCAUCAUUACAGUAUCAUAGAGAAGAGAUUUAUUGCCCUAAAAAUCCCCCGUGCUUCACCGAUUGAUCUCUCUUCCCCUUCUGUCUCCCAACCUCUGGCAACCACUGACUUUUUUUUUUACUAUCUCCAUAGUUUUGCCUUUCCAGAAUGCCAUCUAGAUGGAAUGAUACAGUAUGUAACCUUUUAAGACUGGCUUCUUUCACUUAGCAAUAUGCAUUUAAGGUUUCUUCAUACAUUUUUAUAGCUUCAUAGCUCAUUUCUUUUUAUGAAAAGAAAAUCAUCCCAUGUAUGGCUAUACCACUACUUUUUAUUAUUACUAUUAUUAUUUUGAGAUGGAGUUUCGCUCUUGUUGCCCAGGCUGGGG
rnacentral:lncRNA from 1 species